GAUGAACGCUGGCGGCGUGCUUAACACAUGCAAGUCAAACGAUGAAGCCCAGCUUGCUGGGUGGAUUAGUGGCGAACGGGUGAGUAACACGUGAGUAACCUGCCCUUGACUCUGGGAUAAGCCUGGGAAACUGGGUCUAAUACUGGAUAUGACUUCUCAUCGCAUGGUGGGGGGUGGAAAGAUUUAUUGGUCUUGGAUGGACUCGCGGCCUAUCAGCUUGUUGGUGAGGUAAUGGCUCACCAAGGCGACGACGGGUAGCCGGCCUGAGAGGGUGACCGGCCACACUGGGACUGAGACACGGCCCAGACUCCUACGGGAGGCAGCAGUGGGGAAUAUUGCACAAUGGGCGCAAGCCUGAUGCAGCGACGCCGCGUGAGGGAUGACGGCCUUCGGGUUGUAAACCUCUUUCAGUAGGGAAGAAGCGAGAGUGACGGUACCUGCAGAAGAAGCGCCGGCUAACUACGUG
rnacentral:rRNA from 1 species